rnacentral:rRNA from 1 species
AUUGAACGCUGGCGGCAGGCCUAACACAUGCAAGUCGAGCGGAACGGCGGACGGGUGCGUAAUGCCUAGGAAUCUGCCUGGUCGUGGGGGAGAACGUCCGGAAACGGACGCUAAUACCGCAUCCUAUCAGAUGAGCCUAGGUCGGAUUGGCUAGUUGGUGGGGUAACGGCCUACCAAGGCGACGAUCCGUAACUGGUCUGAGAGGAUGAUCAGUCACACUGGAACUGAGACACGGUCCAGACUCCUACGGGAGGCAGCAGUGGGGAAUAUUGGACAAUGGGCGAAAGCCUGAUCCAGCCAUGCCGCGUGUGUGAAGAAGGUCUUCGGAUUGUAAAGCACUUUAAGUUGGGAGGCGUUACCAGCAGAAUAAGCACCGGCUAACUCCGUGCCAGCAGCCGCGGUAAUAC